UACGUCGGGUGCGAGCGUUGUCCGGCAUUACUGGGCGUAAAGAGCUCGUAGGUGGUUUGUCGCGUUGUUCGUGAAAACUCACAGCUUAACUGUGGGCGUGCGGGCGAUACGGGCAGACUGGAGUACUGCAGGGGAGACUGGAAUUCCUGGUGUAGCGGUGGAAUGCGCAGAUAUCAGGAGGAACACCGGUGGCGAAGGCGGGUCUCUGGGCAGUAACUGACGCUGAGGAGCGAAAGCGUGGGGAGCGAACAGG
rnacentral:rRNA from 1 species